CACGUAGGGGGCAAGCGUUGUCCGGAUUUAUUGGGCGUAAAGAGCUCGUAGGUGGCUAAGUAAGUCGGACCUUAAAUCCCAGGCUCAACCUGGGACACGGCUCGAUACUGCUUUGGCUAGAGUCCGGUAGGGGAGCAUGGAAUUCCUGGUGUAGCGGUAGAAUGCGCAGAGUAUCAGGAGGAACACCAGCGGCGGAAGGCGG
rnacentral:rRNA from 1 species